UACCUGGUUGAUCCUGCCAGUAGUCAUAUGCUUGUCUUAAAGAUUAAGCCAUGCAUGUCUAAGUAUAAGCAUUUAUACCGCGAGACUGCGAACGGCUCAUUAAAACAGUUAUGGUUUAUUUGAUGGUUCCUUUGCUACUUGGAUAACCGUAGUAAUUCUAGAGCUAAUACAUGCACGAAGGGGCGACUUACGAAGCCCUGUAUUUAUUAGAUUAAAGCCAACCGCCUCCGGGUGUUCGUGGUGAAUCAUAGUAACUUAUCGGAUCGCCGGCUCUAUGCCAGCGACGUGUCAUUCAAAUUUCUGCCCUAUCAGCUUUAGAUGGUAGGAUAUGGGCCUACCAUGGCGGUGACGGGUAACGGAGAAUUAGGGUUCGAUUCCGGAGAGGGAGCCUGAGAAACGGCUACCACUUCUAAGGAAGGCAGCAGGCGCGCAAAUUACCCAAUCCUGACUCAGGGAGGUAGUGACAAGAAAUAACAAUAAACCGGCUUAUGCCGGUUUAAUUGGAAUGAGUACAAUUUAAACAUCUUAACGAGGAACAAUUGGAGGGCAAGUCUGGUGCCAGCAGCCGCGGUAAUUCCAGCUCCAAUAGC
rnacentral:rRNA from 1 species